rnacentral:rRNA from 1 species
GACGAACGCUGGCGGCGUGCCUAAUACAUGCAAGUCGAGCGAGUCUGCCUUGAAGAUCGGAGUGCUUGCACUCUGUGAAACAAGAUACAGGCUAGCGGCGGACGGGUGAGUAACACGUGGGUAACCUGCCCAAGAGAUCGGGAUAACACCUGGAAACAGAUGCUAAUACCGGAUAACAACAGAUGAUGCCUAUCAACUGUUUAAAAGAUGGUUCUGCUAUCACUCUUGGAUGGACCUGCGGUGCAUUAGCUAGUUGGUAGGGUAACGGCCUACCAAGGCGAUGAUGCAUAGCCGAGUUGAGGGACGGAUCGGCCACAUUGGGACUGAGACACGGCCCAAACUCCUACGGGAGGCAGCAGUAGGGAAUCUUCCACAAUGGACGCAAGUCUGAUGGAGCAACGCCGCGUGAGUGAAGAAGGGUUUCGGCUCGUAAAGCUCUGUUGUUGGUGAAGAAGGACAGGGGUAGUAACUGACCUUUGUUUGACGGUAAUCAAUUAGAAAGUCACGGCUAACUACGUG